ensembl:miRNA
GGCUCAGUGGCUGGAAUGGAAAGCAGUAUGUAUUUUAUGUAAAAUAGAUUUGCAUUAUUAUUUAUUCAUGAGCU